GAUGAUCCAUAGGGUUACUUCUAUCUCUGAAGUUCUAAGAUGCUGCUGCUGCUGCUGCUGAUGAUGUUGAAUCUUAAAUUGAGGACCUCUUUAGCCAAAAAUCCUAAAUGACUCCCUGAAUUAUAAGUCCUAUGGAACCAUAGAAGUUAUGGUAUUAUCAAACUGCUUUAAGGGUCUAGUCUGUACACAGUCUUAGAGCAGAUGCACUGAAAUUAAUCAGAUUUUAAUUAGGUAUGGUUUUUAUGUCAUGCAAGCAUAAGUUCAGAUCUAGCCCUGUGAACCUAUUUCUCUGAAUUUCAUAACAUCCUGGCUGUUAAAAUGGUAUGAUUUCUUUGCCAUCCCUCCUGCUUUACAGGAUGUCAGUGUUUUUCUUCAGUGCUGCAGUGUACUAUGUCACCUAGAGCAAAUUGGACAUUACACAGAAGUGUGCAUAAUAUUACCAUGAAGAAGCUAUUUUAAAGAGAAAGCAUGCAUCUCUGCUCAUGUUUAAUUGUACAAUAAUUCUCCCAGUUGGUUUAGUAUUAACUCCCUUUUCCUCUCAAAUCUUUAGAACAGUAGUUGAGAAACAGAAGAAUAAGAAUCAUAGAAUUCUCAUCAGCCAUAAAUGACUCAACAGCUAGAUUCAAGAUUUCAAUGAGGAGCCCAUGUGCAUUCAGAUGAUACCGAUCCCAGCCUGUAAUGAUGCACUGUGCUGCACUGCGUGGCAAACUUCAAGCACUGAGAGAAAAGUGGUAAAAGCAAGAAAAGUGCACAUGCUCCUAUGGGCAGUCUUUGUAACACUGAAAGAGCUUCUCCUGCCUUUAAGACUUGCAUGUCAUCUUCCCAUGGGAGAGAUGCAGUAUUCUCACUUUGAACAUUUCCUGGCAACGCAAAAUCCCAAUGGUAUGAAACAAAACAUCUGAAUGACGAAAUUAAGCUAUCUAGUGGAUCGUGGUGAUGACAACCAUUAGGACACAAGAAAUAGUAAAGUGGCUGACAGUAGUAGAAAACUGCUGGCAUAUUAGGCCAAAACCAAAAUAAAAAUAAAAAAUAAAGAAAACCA
rnacentral:lncRNA from 1 species